rnacentral:rRNA from 1 species
AUUGAACGCUGGCGGCAGGCUUAACACAUGCAAGUCGAGCGGAGAUGAGGUGCUUGCACCUUAUCUUAGCGGCGGACGGGUGAGUAAUGCUUAGGAAUCUGCCUAUUAGUGGGGGACAACAUUCCGAAAGGAAUGCUAAUACCGCAUACGCCCUACGGGGGAGAGCAGGGGAUCUUCGGACCUUGCGCUAAUAGAUGAGCCUAAGUCGGAUUAGCUAGUUGGUGGGGUAAAGGCCUACCAAGGCGACGAUCUGUAGCGGGUCUGAGAGGAUGAUCCGGCACACUGGGACUGAGACACGGCCCAGACUCCUACGGGAGUCAGCAGUGGGGAAUAUUGGACAAUGGGCGGAAGCCUGAUCCAGCCAUGCCGCGUGUGUGAAGAAGGCCUUUUUGUUGUAAAGCACUUUAAGCGAGGAGGAGGCUACCUGGAUUAAUACUCUAGGAUAGUGGACGUUACUCGCAGAAUAAGCACCGGCUAACUCUGUGCCAGCAGCCGCAGUAAUAC